rnacentral:rRNA from 1 species
GAUGAACGCUGGCGGCGUGCCUAAUACAUGCAAGUCGAGCGAACGGACGAGAAGCUUGCUUCUCUGAUGUUAGCGGCGGACGGGUGAGUAACACGUGGAUAACCUACCUAUAAGACUGGGAUAACUUCGGGAAACCGUAGCUAAUACCGGAUAAUAUCUUGAACCGCAUGGUUCAAAAGUGAAAGACGGUCUUGCUGUCACUUAUAGAUGGAUCCGCGCUGCAUUAGCUAGUUGGUAAGGUAACGGCUUACCAAGGCAACGAUGCAUAGCCGACCUGAGAGGGUGAUCGGCCACACUGGAACUGAGACACGGUCCAGACUCCUACGGGAGGCAGCAGUAGGGAAUCUUCCGCAAUGGGCGGAAGCCUGACGGAGCAACGCCGCGUGAGUGAUGAAGGUCUUCGGAUCGUAAAACUCUGUUAUUAGGGAAGAACAUAUGUGUAAGUAACUGUGCACAUCUUGACGGUACCUAAUCAGAAAGCCACGGCUAACUACGUG